rnacentral:lncRNA from 1 species
AUGAAAGUUUCAAAAUGGAAGUUAGGAAUUCUUUGUUUUAUAAGUGGAUGUGUAAUGUCUGGUCAGGUGGAUGCUUGUAUUCCUGAUAGAGUUCCAAUGGGACUCUUAAUCACAGAUUGCCCUUAUCCACAACUGAAAACUCUUGAGAUGCAGAGGACUCUUGCCCUAAAAAUCAUUCUUUCCUUUUCUUUUUUUCUACCCACAGAAGCCCCAAGACAGCAACCUGCUGAACCUGAACAAGCCUCAAGCCAACAAUCUGAGAAACCUGAAUCAGCCCCAAGGCAACAAACUAGGAAAAGUAAAGGUAAGUAAAAUGUCUAUCUGUAAAGAGUCCUUCUUUCCCUUUUCCUUGAGGACCCUACAACUUAUUUCUCAUUUUAAACAGUUUGGCAUUUCCACUCUUAAAGUUCAAUACCAGGAAAGAGAUGGUAAUAAUGAAAUAACAGGGUGGUCAGGUUAAAAGGCCUUGUUCUCUCUUGCCAUUGCAUAGGUCUUAUUUUCCCAACUGAGAAUUUCCCAGAUCAAAAAUCCAAAGCCAUUUUAUCAUCUUUUGCCAUAGCACAUGUUUGCUUAUUUCUAUUAGCUAAUAUCCUACGUCAAAGAUUUCAAGAUCACUUUGUAAUAUUUGGUGCAAUGUUCUUUUAAUGUCUCUGCACUGUUUGUAUUUCUCUCUCUCUUUCUCUCAGUUUUUUCAGUCCCUCUGUGUCUGGUCUUCUCUGAAUCUAUAUCUUUAUCUCUCUGUCUUCGUCUCACUUUUUCUUGGUUUCUCUCCCUCCCUCCCUCCCUCUCUCUCUCUCUCUCUCUCUCUCUCUCCUUGUACUUUGACCUCUGCAAGAGUGAAAUUUGAGAAAGCAAAAGAGGAAAAGAAGGAAAUGUAAUAUUAGGAAUUCAAAAGGACAAAGGCUUAUUGAAAAUAUUUGUACCUAAAACACAAAAUUAAGAAAUUUACAUCCUGGCCAUCAUUUCCCCCUUUACCCAAAGGCUCUUCAAUUCUUCUAAGGAAGGAUCCAUCUCAGACCUAGCCUCAACCUACUCACACCAAUAUCUUCAAGGACAGAAGACAGAAGAAAUAGUCAGUUUGGCAGAUGUUUCUAUUCUUUAGAGAUGGCUGAGAUCAGGCUGAACAUAAUAUCUAAUUUUUCCACCCAUUUUAUAUUUAGGUCCUUCAUUUCUCUUAUAUCUUCUACUUACACUUAUGAAAGCUUUGAAAUGUAUAGGAUGAUUUUGUGAGUGAAUAUGAACCUCUGGCCAAGUGGAUACUUGCAUUCUUGAAGUAAU